CCUCCCUCCCUCCCCUCUCCCCUCUCCCUCCCUCUCCCUCUCUCCCUCCCUCUCCCUCUCCCCCCCUCUCUCUCUCCUUCUGUCUAACAGAGGAAGAGCCCAGGGAGAUGUUCAAUGUAUUUGUUUCCACAUGGUGACCAACCCAACAGGUUAAAACUCUGUACUGAAUAAGACACUGUAUAAUAAUUAUACCAAUAGAAGUAUGUUGUAAGUGCUUCUGAUUCCCACAAGAGGAACAUGUUCAGAGGGUUAAAACACAUCAGUCUUCAGAACACUGUCAACAACUGGUUUGGUCUGUUACGUAGAGCAUCUGAAGACAGGACAGAAACAUGCUGUUCAGAAGGUCUAUGGAGGGAAAACAGUUGAUGACUGAACAUGUGACUUCUUAUCCAGGUCUCCAUUGGUUCAACUGUUUCAGUUUAAACUGAGUUUACAGUGAUCUGCCCGAUACGGUAUGGUGGCCUGGGAGGGACACUGGUCUUUUAAAGGCUCAUGUUACUCUUAGGGACGACUGUACUCUACACCUCUUGUCUGUCUACCACACUCCCAUACCUACAUUCCUAUAUAAUGGGUACUAUGUUGGUAUCUCUCUGUUUAUGAUUUGUGACACAGAGGUCAUAUGGAGUUUUGCUCAUUGUUUUUGUGUAAAUACUGAUACUGUGGUGAUGAUAUGAAACAUGUGAUUGGAUAGGAGUGGUGUGGUGAAUCUAAAGGAUUUGAUUGGACGGGAGAGAAAGUGGUGUGGUGAAUCUAAAGGAUUUGAUUGGACAGGAGAGAAUGUGGUGUGGUGAAUCUAAAGGAUUUGAUUGGACAGGAGAGAAAGUGGUGUGGUGAUUCUAAUGGAUUUGAUUGGACGGGAGAGAAAGAGGUGUGGUGAAUCUGAAGGAUUUGAUUGGACGGGAGAGAAAGAGGUGUGGUGAAUCUGAAGGAUGGCUGCAGUGCCUUGUCAGAGAGCAGUUGUUGUUUUUUGACACGGUAUUUGGUUCCAGUCUGCACCAUUUUAGUAAAAGUUGUACAAAACUAAACCGCGUGCCUCAUCUCCUUCCUUUCAUCCUCCUACAUUGCCAUUUAGCCAAGGCUUUUAUUCAAAGCCACUCACAGUGCACCUGCAUUUUUUUAUACACAUGUGACAACAAUUGUUGUUGUGAUGCAACUGAUAUUUAUGUGAAGGUUUGUCCCCCAACACUUUUUAUGCAGAUAACCUGCCACUCUUAUCACGACUGCUGUGCCAAACGCGUUGUACAUCGGCUGUACAACUUGUGUACGUGGCCUUAUAGGGAGAACCUCCAUUGCUGUUUCCGUGAUCCCUCUUUCGUCCCUCUCUCUCUCUCCUCACCGCCUCCUCAAAACCCAUUGAAUGAGAAGGUCAGAGGUCCCUCCUGUUUGGCAUUCUCAUCCAACAGGGUUUUGAGAAAGAGGCGAGGAGAAAGGGCUUUGAGGAAUCCAGGAAAUGCAAUUGUGAUUCUCCCUGUUGUUUGUGAGUUGUGAGUCACAGGGCCCCACCACUCAGACGUGUAACAGGGACAAUCAUUUGAUGGUAAAUCAACAGUGUUUAUUAAUGUGUAAAACAAGGGUCUAUCAGGAGGCAGAGUACAGAACAUUAAGCUACAACACUAUAAAACAUCAGAGACAGGAGAUAAACAACAACACAAACAUUGUCAUGUCAUGGGUGGGUGUGGAUGUCUGUCUGUCUGUCUGUCUGUCUGUCUGUCUGUCUGUCUGUCUGUCUGUCUGUCUGUCUGUCUGUAUGUAUGUAUGUAUGUAUGUAUGUAUGUAUGUAUGUAUGUAUGUAUGUAUGUAUGUAU
ensembl:lncRNA